rnacentral:rRNA from 1 species
GACGAACGCUGGCGGCGUGCUUAACACGUGCAAGUCGAACGGAAAGGCCCUGCUUUUGUGGGGUGCUCGAGUGGCGAACGGGUGAGUAACACGUGAGUAACCUGCCCUUGACUUUGGGAUAACUUCAGGAAACUGGGGCUAAUACCGGAUAGGAGCUCCUGCUGCAUGGUGGGGGUUGGAAAGUUUCGGCGGUUGGGGAUGGACUCGCGGCUUAUCAGCUUGUUGGUGGGGUAGUGGCUUACCAAGGCUUUGACGGGUAGCCGGCCUGAGAGGGUGACCGGCCACAUUGGGACUGAGAUACGGCCGAGACUCCUACGGGAGGCAGCAGUGGGGAAUAUUGCACAAUGGGCGGAAGCCUGAUGCAGCAACGCCGCGUGCGGGAUGACGGCCUUCGGGUUGUAAACCGCUUUCGCCUGUGACGAAGCGUGAGUGACGGUAAUGGGUAAAGAAGCACCGGCUAACUACGUG